UACGUAGGGAGCAAGCGUUGUCCGGAAUCAUUGGGCGUAAAGCGCGCGUAGGUGGCCUCGUAAGUCCGCUGUGAAAGUCAAAGGCUCAACCUUUGAAAGCCGGUGGAUACUGUGGGGCUAGAGUACGGAAGAGGCGAGUGGAAUUCCUGGUGUAGCGGUGGAAUGCGCAGAUAUCGGGAGGAACACCAAUGGCGAAGGCAGCUCGCUGGGACGGUACUGACGCUGAGACGCGAAAGCGUGGGGAGCGAACGGG
rnacentral:rRNA from 1 species